rnacentral:misc_RNA from 1 species
CUGCGACCUGGGCACUGGGGUG